UACGUAGGGGGCAAGCGUUAUCCGGAUUUACUGGGUGUAAAGGGGGCGCAGACGGCGAUGCAAGCCAGGAGUGAAAGCCCGGGGCCCAACCCCGGGACUGCUCUUGGAACUGCGUGGCUGGAGUGCAGGGGGGGCAGGCGGAAUUCCUGGUGUAGCGGUGAAAUGCGUAGAUAUCAGGAGGAACACCGGUGGCGAAGGCGGCCUGCUGGACUGCAACUGACACUGAGGUACGAAAGCGUGGGGAGCAAACAGG
rnacentral:rRNA from 1 species